rnacentral:snoRNA from 1 species
CUCCUAUGAUGAACCUUCAUUCAGUUCUGCUUCCGAAAGAGAACUCUCUUGUGGACAACUUAUACCAAAACUCUCAUUUCUGAUGC